rnacentral:rRNA from 1 species
UACGUAUGUGACAAGCGUUGUCCGGAUUUACUGGGCGUAAAGAGCGCGCAGGCGGUCGUUCAAGUCGAGUGUGAAAGCCCCCGGCUCAACUGGGGAGGGUCACUCGAUACUGAUCGACUCGAAGGCAGGAGAGGGAAGUGGAAUUCCCGGUGUAGUGGUGAAAUGCGUAGAUAUCGGGAGGAACACCAGUGGCGAAGGCGACUUCCUGGCCUGUUCUUGACGCUGAGGCGCGAAAGCUAGGGGAGCAAACGGG